rnacentral:rRNA from 1 species
UACGUAGGGUGCGAGCGUUAAUCGGAAUUACUGGGCGUAAAGCGCGCGCAGGCGGUUGUGCAAGACAGAUGUGAAAUCCCCGGGCUUAACCUGGGAACUGCAUUUGUGACUGCACGGCUAGAGUGUGUCAGAGGGGGGUAGAAUUCCACGUGUAGCAGUGAAAUGCGUAGAUAUGUGGAGGAAUACCGAUGGCGAAGGCAGCCCCCUGGGAUAACACUGACGCUCAUGCACGAAAGCGUGGGGAGCAAACAGG